AACGAACGCUGGCGGCAUGCCUAACACAUGCAAGUCGAACGAACCCUUCGGGGUUAGUGGCGCACGGGUGCGUAACGCGUGGGAAUCUGCCCUUUGCUUCGGAAUAACAGUUAGAAAUGACUGCUAAUACCGGAUGAUGUUUUCGGACCAAAGAUUUAUCGGCAAGGGAUGAGCCCGCGUAGGAUUAGGUAGUGGGUGGGGUAAAGGCCUACCAAGCCGACGAUCCUUAGCUGGUCUGAGAGGAUCAUCAGCAACACUGGGACUGAUACACGGCCCAUACUCCUACGUGAGGCAGCAGUGGGGAAUAUUGGACAAUGGGCGCAAGCCUGAUCCAGCAAUGCCGCGUGAGUGAUGAAGGCCUUCAGGUCGUAAAGCUCUUUUACCAGGGAUGAUAAUGACAGUACCUGGAGAAUAAGCUCCGGCUAACUCCGUGCCAGCAGCCGCCGUAAAAC
rnacentral:rRNA from 1 species